UUGGGCACACUAGAUAAUUAUUGCGCGCUCGUGGUGAGUUUGUCGUCGAAAGCCAUGAAGUGUGGGAGGUUAUACUGCGAAUAAAAGAUACUUGCGCAUAUAUAUAUAUAUAGUUGCAUACAUACAUGCACGCUUAUACACUUUUUGCUUGUGUAUAAGGCGGCGGGUCGACCCAUCGCCGCCGUAUGUUAAAGGCAACUCCCACCCGAGUGACGACAGAAGCUUUUAUUCUAUCUUGCACAGGCUGCGCAAAAUGCCUGGACGACAUGAUGCAGCAUUCGUAUUGGUCCCGCAACCGAGUGCAGGGACGUCGCAAAAAAAAAAUUUUUUAAAUACAGUAAAAAAAUUUGAUACAUCGUAUGGAAUUACAGUGCCAAAAUUUCAUUACUAGGCAUCCAAUUUAUUUGUAUUUAAAUUAUUUAGAGUAUAAAAAUAUAACUCCUCUCCCCCUUCACACAAGCUUUUCAAAAUAUAAUGUAAUGAGGUUCUAAAGUUCCUUUUAUGAUAUGUAUAUAAGAAUAAAUGUAUUUAAAUCAUUAAAAA